GCCUAGUGUUAUGCUGCUAUCUGAUGCCCCAGAAAUAGAUUUAUUGAUCAGAUGACAUUGUGCUCUAUGGCGAGAGUAGAUGGUGCAGGUGGAAGAGACCCUGGAGAGGUGUAGAUAUGCUCUAUAUCGUAUAGGAAUGAAGGACAGUAGGACUAAGACCAAACACAUUUGUGAAGAUACUGAGAUUUAUGUCAUGUCAUGAAAAUGGCUGUACUAGUUUUUGGAACCCCUGACCUCCAUUACUUUGACCCCUUUAGAGAACAGUCCUGAACAUAGUCCUAGGCUGGGGAAUGCUUAAGAGAAAGAUGCAGAAGAUGGGUGGAAAUGGUGAUGAAAGCAGCCAAAGGAAAGUGUCUGUGUGUAUUUCAUCUGCUAAUGCAUCAGCCUGGAGAUCACCGUCUGGGGAUGAGGACACACAUCUAACGAAGACGAAUGUUGCAGACCUUGGAUGGAAAUGACGUGGCUUGUGCAGCAUUUACCUUCAUAAAUGAUCCUUCAGAUCCUAAAAACCAACCAUCUGCGCUUCCCCCCUACAAUGAGCAGAAUUCUCUCCCGCUGCUCUGAAAUAUUCUUUAAUAUAGAUGAGUAGGCACAUAACUUGAUACCAGUUUGGCAUGCAGCUUACAAAUGGGAAUAUAUAA
rnacentral:lncRNA from 1 species